rnacentral:rRNA from 1 species
UACGAAGGGGGCUAGCGUUGCUCGGAAUUACUGGGCGUAAAGGGCGCGUAGGCGGUCAGCACAAGUCAGUUGUGAAAUCUCCGGGCUUAACUCGGAAAGGUCAACUGAUACUGUGCGGCUAGAGUGCGGAAGGGGCAACUGGAAUUCUUGGUGUAGCGGUGAAAUGCGCAGAUAUCAGGAGGAACACCGAUGGCGAAGGCAGGUCUCUGGGCCACUACUGACGCUGAGAAGCGAAAGCAUGGGGAGCGAACAGG